UCUGCCCCUAGAGAUGUUGCAGAUGUUGCUGCUGUGUCACAUGUGACUCAGUAAGUGACAGAGAGGAGAGACUAUGUGUAUGCUCUGUGUUCAGACUACAAACAUCUGAAUAAUUAGUAUCCUACCAUU